rnacentral:rRNA from 1 species
UACGUAGGGGGCAAGCGUUGUCCGGAAUCAUUGGGCGUAAAGCGCGUGUAGGCGGCUCGGUAAGUCCGCUCUGAAAGUCCAGGGCUCAACCCUGGGAUGCGGGUGGAUACUGCCGGGCUCGAGUCCGGAAGAGGCGAGUGGAAUUCCCGGUGUAGCGGUGAAAUGCGCAGAUAUCGGGAGGAACACCAAUGGCGAAGGCAGCUCGCUGGGACGUGGCUGACGCUGAGACGCGAAAGCGUGGGGAGCAAACAGG